GUCGUCAGCUCGUGUCGUGAGAUGUUCGGUUAAGUCCGCUAACGAGCGCAACCCUCGCUGUGUGUUAUAUGUGUCACACGGGACUGCCGGUCUUAAGCCGGAGGAAGGUGGGGAUGAUGUCAAGUCAGCAUGGCCUUUAUAUCCUGGGCUACACACACGCUACAAUGGCCAACACAAUAGGUUGCUAAGCCGCGAGGUGGCGCCAAUCCAUAAAGUUGGUCUCAGUUCAGAUUGUAGGCUGCAACCCGCCUGCAUGAAGAUGGAGUUGCUAGUAACCGCAGGUCAGCUAUACUGCGGUGAAUACGUUCCCGGGGCUU
rnacentral:rRNA from 1 species